CUACGGGUCUGCAGUGAGGAAUAUUGCACAAUGGGGGGAACCCUGAUGCAGCAACGCCGCGUGGAGGAUGACGCAUUUCGGUGUGUAAACUCCUUUUAUAUGUCAAGAAAAUGACGGUAGCAUAUGAAUAAGCACCGGCUAACUCCGUGCCAGCAGCCGCGGUAAUACGGAGGGUGCAAGCGUUACUCGGAAUCACUGGGCGUAAAGGACGCGUAGGCGGGUUGGAAAGUCAGGUGUGAAAUCCUACAGCUUAACUGUAGAACUGCACUUGAAACUUCUAAUCUAGAGUAUGGGAGGGGGAGAUGGAAUUAGUGGUGUAGGGGUAAAAUCCGUAGAUAUCACUAGGAAUACCUAAAGCGAAGGCGAUCUCCUGGAACAUUACUGACGCUAAGGCGUGAAAGCGUGGGGAGCAAACAGGAUUAGAUACCCGCGUAGUC
rnacentral:rRNA from 1 species